rnacentral:rRNA from 1 species
AGCAGCCGCGGUAAUUCCAGCUCCAAUAGCGUAUAUUAAAGUUGUUGCAGUUAAAAAGCUCGUAGUUGAAUUUCGGGAUCAGCAGGUCGGUCGUGCCACUGGUAUGCACUGGCCUUGCUGAUUCCUCCCUCUUGAUGAGCCGUAAUGCCAUUAAUUUGGUGUUGCGGGGAAUCAGGACUGUUACUUUGAAAAAAUUAGAGUGUUUAAAGCAGGCAUGCGCUUGAAUACAUUAGCAUGGAAUAAUGAAAUAGGACGUUCGAUCCUAUUUUGUUGGUUUCUAGGAUUGACGUAAUGAUUAAUAGGGAUAGUUGGGGGCAUUAGUAUUCAAUUGUCAGAGGUGAAAUUCUUGGAUUUAUUGAAGACUAACUACUGCGAAAGCAUUUGCCAAGGAUAUUUUCAUUAAUCAAGAACGAAAGUUAGGGGAUCGAAGACGAUCAGAUACCGUCGUAGUCUUAACCAUAAACUAUGCCGACUAGGGAUCGGAUGAUGUUAAUUUUUUUAAUGACUCAUUCGGCGCCUU